GUCUGCUUGUUAUCAUGUUUGUUUACUUUUCCUGUGAUGUCUUUUGCUUAUUGGUGUACGUAUUCGAGGAAAAUAUUUUAAACCCAUUUGGCAUUUAAACAUACGUUUCCACUUCUUGUCUGAAUGUUAAAGAAAUACCCAUGAAUAUGACCAAGGUCAAUGAAGUCAGUAGUAGAGAUGGGAAAAGAUUCUGCGUAAACUUUCAGGUGUGUUGGUUCUCAACACCUAAGUCAGUUUUAGAUCGAAGACAUCAGUGUUAAUAUAUUAAUUGUUUUUAUGAAAUGAGACAUGCAAA